AUUGAACGCUGGCGGCAGGCCUAACACAUGCAAGUCGAACGGUAACAGGAAGCAGCUUGCUGCUUUGCUGACGAGUGGCGGACGGGUGAGUAAUGUCUGGGAAACUGCCUGAUGGAGGGGGAUAACUACUGGAAACGGUAGCUAAUACCGCAUAACGUCGCAAGACCAAAGAGGGGGACCUUAGGGCCUCUUGCCAUCGGAUGUGCCCAGAUGGGAUUAGCUAGUAGGUGGGGUAACGGCUCACCUAGGCGACGAUCCCUAGCUGGUCUGAGAGGAUGACCAGCCACACUGGAACUGAGACACGGUCCAGACUCCUACGGGAGGCAGCAGUGGGGAAUAUUGCACAAUGGGCGCAAGCCUGAUGCAGCCAUGCCGCGUGUAUGAAGAAGGCCCUCGGGUUGUAAAGUACUUUCAGCGGGGAGGAAGGGAGUAAAGUUAAUACCUUUGCUCAUUGACGUUACCCGCAGAAGAAGCACCGGCUAACUCCGUG
rnacentral:rRNA from 1 species